GACGAACGCUGGCGGCGUGCUUAACACAUGCAAGUCGAACGGAAAGGCCCUGCUUGCAGGGUACUCGAGUGGCGAACGGGUGGGUAACACGUGGGUGAUCUGCCCUGCACUUCGGGAUAAGCCUGGGAAACUGGGUCUAAUACCGGAUAGGAGCCAUUUUUAGUGUGAUGGUUGGAAAGUUUUUUCGGUGUAGGAUGAGCUCGCGGCCUAUCAGCUUGUUGGUGGGGUAAUGGCCUACCAAGGCGGCGACGGGUAGCCGGCCUGAGAGGGUGGACGGCCACAUUGGGACUGAGAUACGGCCCAGACUCCUACGGGAGGCAGCAGUGGGGAAUAUUGCACAAUGGGCGCAAGCCUGAUGCAGCGACGCCGCGGGGGGGAUGACGGCCUUCGGGUUGUAAACUCCUUUCGCUAGGGACGAAGCUUUUUGUGACGGUACCUAGAUAAGAAGCACCGGCUAACUACGUG
rnacentral:rRNA from 1 species